rnacentral:rRNA from 1 species
GACCCGUCUUGAACCACGGAGUCUAACAAGUAUGCGAGUUAUUGGUAGUGUUUUUCGUUAUUGGUUUUUCGGUCGAAUUGAAGUUCUUUUCGGAGGAUGGAUAAUUCGAUCGGGAUUUAAUAUCGAAAAUUUUUUAUAGAAUUUGAAAACCAAAAGCACAAUGAAAGUGAAAAAAGUGAAUUUGUCGGGUUCGUUUGGAUUUGAGAAAUUCACUUUAAAGUGAUGAAAUUUUUUUCAGUCUUGCACGCGCAGCAGCAGCAGCUGCUGUGUGAGAGCGGCGGAAUGAUUGCAAUCACUGAAUAUUUAGGACACGUAAAAUUUUCGAAUUUUACGCAGUCGACAGUCGAAAUAUAUCAAGAGCAUACUUGUUGGGACCCGAAAGAUGGUGAACUAUACCUGGCCAGGAUGAAGUCAGGAGAAAUUCUGAUGGAAGUCCGUAGCGAUUCUGACGUGCAAAUCGAUCGUCAGAGCUGGGUAUAGGGGCGAAAGACUAAUCGACCCAUCUAGUAGCUGGUUCCUUCCGA